UACGGAGGAUCCGAGCGUUAUCCGGAUUUAUUGGGUUUAAAGGGUGCGUAGGUGGAUUGAUAAGUCAGUGGUGAAAGUUUGCAGCUUAACUGUAAAAUUGCCGUUGAAACUGCCGGUCUUGAGUGCAAAUGAGGUAGGCGGAAUGCGUCGUGUAGCGGUGAAAUGCUUAGAUAUGACGCAGAACUCCGAUUGCGAAGGCAGCUUACUGGGAUGCAACUGACGCUGAGGCACGAAAGCGUGGGUAUCAAACGGGAUUAGAUA
rnacentral:rRNA from 1 species